rnacentral:tRNA from 1 species
GCGGUCGUAGCUUAGCUGGCUUAAAGCGCCGCCCUGUCACGGCGGAGAUCGAGGGUUCGAAUCCCUUCGACCGCGCCA